CUGUCUCAGUUCGGAUUGGAGUCUGCAACCCGACUCCAUGAAGCUGGAUUCGCUAGUAAUCGCGCAUCAGCCACGGCGCGGUGAAUACGUUCCCGGGCCUUGUACACACCGCCCGUCAAGCCAUGGAAGCCGGGGGGUGCCUGAAGUGCGCUGCCGCAAGGAGCGCCCUAGGGUAAAACCGGUGACUGGGGCUAAGUCGUAACAAGGUAUC
rnacentral:rRNA from 1 species